UAAUAUCCAGAAUAUAUAAAGAAUUCCUACAACUUGAUAACAAAAACACCCCAAUCUAAAAAUGGACACAGAACUUAAAUAGACAUUUCUCCAAUGAAGAUGGCCACCACACAUGUGAAAAGAUGCUCAACAUCUCUAAUCAUCAAGGGAAAUGCAAAUCAAAACCACAAUAGCACAAUGAAAUAUCAUUUCAGACCCCAUGUGAUGUUAGGAUGGCUACUUUCAAAAAAACAGAAAAUAAGUGUUGGUAAGGAAACACCUGCACACUGUUGAUGGGAUUAUAAAAUGGGCAGCCACUAUGGAAAAUAGUAUGGAGGUUCCAUAAAAAACUGAAAUUAGAAUUCCCAUAUGAUCCAAUCAUCUCCUACUGCAUAUAUAUCCAAAAGAAUUGAAAGCAGGAUCUUGAAAAGAUAUCUGCUCUCCUAUGUUCAUGCAGCAUUAUUCACAACAGCCAAGAUGUAGAGGUGAUUCAAAUGUCCAUCAGUGAAUGAAUAGAUAAAGAAAUGUGGCAUAUACAUACAAUGGAAUCUUAGCAUAAAAAAGAAAGAAUUCCUGUCAUAUGCUACAGCAUAGAUGAACCUUGAGGACCUUAUAAUGGAUUCUGCUCUGUUGCCCAGGCUGUAGGGCAGCGGCAUGAUCUCGGCUCACUGCAACCUCUGCCUCCUGGGUUCAAGCAAUUCUCAUGCUUCAGCUUCCUGAGUAGCUGGGAUUACAGGCGC
rnacentral:antisense_RNA from 1 species